AUUGAACGCUGGCGGCAGGCCUAACACAUGCAAGUCGAACGGUAACAGGAAGCAGCUUGCUGCUUUGCUGACGAGUGGCGGACGAGUGAGUAAUGUCUGGGAAACUGCCUGAUGGAGGGGGAUAACUACUGGAAACGGUAGCUAAUACCGCAUAACGUCGCAAGACCAAAGAGGGGGACCUUCGGGCCUCUUGCCAUCGGAUGUGCCCAGAUGGGAUUAGCUAGUAGGUGGGGUAACGGCUCACCUAGGCGACGAUCCCUAGCUGGUCUGAGAGGAUGACCAGCCACACUGGAACUGAGACACGGUCCAGACUCCUACGGGAGGCAGCAGUGGGGAAUAUUGCACAAUGGGCGCAAGCCUGAUGCAGCCAUGCCGCGUGUAUGAAGAAGGCCUUCGGGUUGUAAAGUACUUUCAGCGGGGAGGAAGGUGUUGAGGUUAAUAACCUCAGCAAUUGACGUUACCCGCAGAAGAAGCACCGGCUAACUCCGUGCCAGCCGCCGCCGUAA
rnacentral:rRNA from 1 species